UUAGCAGGCAUCCGUUAGCACGUGACUUAGCAGGCGUCCGUUAGCAGGUGGCCAUUAGUGGGCAGCUGUUAGUGCGUGACCGUGAGCCCGUGACCGUUGGCUAGAGGCUGCUCCCGAUCAUGCUUUGGCAAUGACUGGCAUCACAGGGGUGCUGCCGUGGCGGUCACCUUGGGGCACAGUCCCCAAGACCUGCCCUGUUGGGGUGGCCAGAGGAGCCGCCUGGGUCCCGGGCACCUGGGUGCCCCAGUGAAGACGGCCGGCAGGGUGCGGGGGCCUGGCUGGGGUGGCAGUGCCGGCCGAGAGAAUAACACUUGUUUUGAUGGAGGUUUGUACGAACAUGACCGUGGCCUGACCUACGUGGAUCCUGCAAAAACAAAGAAUCCCGCACCAAGAAGUUUGCCACGACUAACCACACCACUCCCUCACCUUCCCAGUGCAAGGGCUUCGCUGAAAGCUUUCAAGGACUUUGGGGCUUUUUUUAAGCAUGUGCCGCCUGUCUCCUUGCCUGGCCCCAAAACAAACCUUUCUCUGCUCCAAACUCUGACAGUUCUGUACUUGACCUCACUGUGCAUCAGGCACGCAGGCUGUGUGCAGUAAGGGUCCCACAUUCUUCAAUCCACAGAGAGAUCCCGCUGGAUGGCUGACAAAUUCGCUUCCAACUCCUUCCCCUUGCCCUUAGUGAUGACAACCCUGGGAUGAUAAGAAUGCCCAACAGCUGGAAGGUGUGGCAGCCUUUAUCUAGUGGGCCUCCUGGGGGUCUCUCUUUGACAGCAGAGACAAUAUAGCAGAGGGAGUCCACUGACGCGUUCUCCUGAGCUGUUUAUCCUUCUAAGGUGUCAGCAACUCUGGAAGAAUAAAUCAAACCAUCUUGGGACAGACUCAGGCCAUUCAGACCAUCUGCUCUAAAAAGAAACCGAACAAACCGAAAAGCUUUACAAAUAUUUUAGUUGAAGGAAAUGCCAUUAUUUAGAUGGUAGUAGCAGGCAAAAAAAAAAAAAAAAAGUCUUCUUGAGAAAGCUUACAGAAUUUUCUGCUUAAAAUUUUUUAGAAACAAAUUUCUCCUCUUUUCCUUAUUGUGAUUCUAGUGAUUCAAACUGAAAAGCCCUGUGCAAUAAAGGAUAACAAUUCUGAACAAA